rnacentral:rRNA from 1 species
UACAGAGGUCUCAAGCGUUGUUCGGAUUCAUUGGGCGUAAAGGGUGCGUAGGCGGCGCGGUAAGUCGGGUGUGAAAUCUUGGAGCUUAACUCUGAAACUGCAUUCGAUACUGCCGUGCUUGAGGACUGGAGAGGAGACUGGAAUUUACGGUGUAGCAGUGAAAUGCGUAGAUAUCGUAAGGAAGACCAGUGGCGAAGGCGAGGCGCUGGACAGUUACUGACGCUGAGGCACGAAGGCCAGGGGAGCAAAAGGG